UAUGAAAGGAAGUAGUUUUUGGAAUAAAAAGUAAAUUCAGAAAAUAAUCUUUUAAGAAAUAUUGAAUAAAACAUUUAAUACUAAAGGAAGUUGUUUUUGGGUAAUUGAAAAGUAUUAAUAGUAUCAUCGAUUUAAGAAAUGCUAAAGCCAUUACUCGGAGCUAAUUGAAACCCCUUCAAGAAUAAACAAAGCUAAUCCAGAUAAGCCAGCCAAGAUCCCAAACAAGUCGUAAAGAGUUUAAGAAAAUAUUAUUCACCUUAAUGAUGCUCAUCUGAAGAUCACAGGAUUAUGCUUUAGUAGAAAAGACAUUCGUCGGACAGUAGCUAUAAAUCUAAACUGUUGUUGAUUGUACAUUCUCGAGUGGAAUGCGGUGCACUCUAGUCACAGCCAAAGCAGAGAGUGACCAAAGCAGAGAGUGACGCCCGGAGUUGGGGCGCCACCGGGUUACAAAGCGACUUUCAAAGUUGUUGUAAGUUCUACCCUGAGCGACAGCUGGCUGUAUGACAAUGGCGGUGGGAUUGGGUGAAGGAGGAGGAGGGGGGACGUGACGAGUAACGGUAACAGGCGUAAUUGGCGCUGCACAAAUUGAUGGAUUGCUUGGCGCCGACUGUCACAGCUCACAGCUCCCAGUUCAUGUCCAUGUCCAAGCCACUCGGCGGUCUUUUUUGUAGUUUUUGUUUGUAAUUUUUUUUUUUUCAUUUUUGUCGUUUUUGGUAAAUCGAUAUUUGUGCCAUUUUUUGUGUGCAGCUUUUGACUUUAGUGUUGUGUGUUUUCAAUUCUGUAAUGAUUAAUUAAUCGUACGUACUUAUCAGAUUCAUGCCUGUUG